rnacentral:tRNA from 1 species
GCAUUGGUGGUUCAAUGGUAGACUCCUCGCCUGCUACGCGGGGGAACCGUGUUCGAUUCCCGGCCAGUGCA